UUUCCUGUGAGCAGCAGCAACAGCUGAGAACCUCCGAUUCGGUCGCUAGAGGACAAACCAUGGAGGCGCGUUUUAUUAUCAGCAUUUGGCUGUUUAUUCACGUAGGUGCUGCGCUGGGGGACUCGGUCCAGUCCAGGGAACCCCACCUCUCUGGAAGAGAAGGAGACGCUGUGACCCUCACUUGUUCCUAUGAUACCAGCUCUACCGGCUACGUCUAUCUCUACUGGUACCGUCAGUUUCCCAACCAAGCCCCGCAGUACAUUCUCUUUAGAGGAGUGAAGGAAGCCAGAGAUGAGAGUAAUACCGCAGAUUUCGCCAAGGAGAGGUUUUCUUCCCAGGCUACUGACAGCUCCACAGUUCUGAGCAUCACAGCCCUGGAGCUGGCGGACACAGCGGUGUAUUACUGCGCUCUGGAUGUGACACAGUGACAGAGCCACAUAGGACAGACGUACAAAAACCGUCCCUUCCC